GAAAAUUAUAGUAGUUGACCAUAUGACGAUUAUGCGGGAAGGAGUGUUUGCCGGCAAUUUCGUCAAUUAUGGUGAAGAAUAAGAGUACCUGCAAUUUCGACUAACUAGAUCCAUUGUUAGUUGAUGGCUUAAUUCAUUUCAGGUGAACAAACGACUGUCUAAUUAAAGACCUUAGAAGGAGAGUGUAGCAUAUGUUUUUCAGAGCCAAGAAGAGAAAAGUAAGUGCUUGCUAAAAUAGAAAACCAACCAUUUCACUUCUCUAACAACUCUCCAAGAAUAAGUUCCUCAUUGAAAUC
rnacentral:lncRNA from 1 species